rnacentral:tRNA from 1 species
GGGUGGGUGCCCGAGUGGUUAAUGGGGGUGGACUGUAAAUCCACUGGCUAUGCCUACGGCGGUUCGAAACCGCCCCCACCCA